rnacentral:rRNA from 1 species
CCAGCAGCUGCGGUAAUUCCAGCUCCAAUAGCGUAUAUUAAAGUUGUUGCAGUUAAAAAGCUCGUAGUCUGAGUCUUGGUUGGUGUUGAGCGUCCGUGGCUUUUGUCACGUGGAUGCGAUACGCAGGCCACGUACUUCGGAGGAACAUGAGUGCUUUUCAUUAAGUGCUCAUGGGAUUCCGAUAGUUUACUUUGAGAAAAAUAGAGUGUUCAAAGCAGGCGUUUGCCUUGAAUACAUUAGCAUGGGAUAAUGGAAUAGGACAUUGGUUCUAUUUUGUUGGUUUACGGACCGAUGUAAUGAUUAAUAGGGACAGUUGGGGACAUUCAUAAUCCAUGGCUAGAGGUGAAAUUCUUGGAUUCAUGGAAGAUGAACUACUGCGACAGCAUUUGUCAAAGAUGUUUUCAUUGAUCAAGAACGGAAGU